AGUGAAACCACUGCCCCUGGUCACGUAAGAGACAGAGACAGAGCUCGUCUGUGGUGCAUCUUCAGAUAGAAUAAAAUGGAGCGUGACAGCGGAUAUGGGACAAAGAGCUCUGGCAGCAGCUCUGAACGAGAACGAACUCAGUACGAGCCUCAGGAGGAGAGGAGGAGCAUAUUUGACUUGUAUCUGUCCCUGUAUGAAGACUCUGAGUCUGGACAAAGAAGUGUCCUGGUCAAAUACAAUUCCGAGUCAAUAGGAGUCCGUGGAAACUUUUGAACCACCCAAGAUGAGGCUGCAGUCGGUUUGGAUCAUAAUGAAGAGUUCAGUCCAGAGACUCAAGUGUUUAUGCCUCAGUGACUUAAUCCAGCACCAGAGGGUUUUUAAUCUUAUGUGAUUUUAACGAGGAAGAUCAGGUUUUCAAAAUGACAAACUGGGACACACCCAGGAUGGGAUGAUUAUAAAUAAAGUAAAAAUAAAAUUGUAAAAAAAAAAAAAAUGAACUUAAUCUUAACUUAAACUUAACUUAUUUGUGAGUCAGUUUAAUGUGACAGACUUCAGUUUAAUGUGAGACUUCAGUUUAAUGUGAGACUUCAGUUUAAUGUGAGACUUCAGUUUAAUGUGAGACUUCAGUUUAAUGUGACAGACUUCAGUUUAAUGUGACAGACUUCAGUUUAAUGUGAGACUUCAGUUUAAUGUGACAGACUUCAGUUUAAUGUGACAGACUUCAGUUUAAUGUGAGACUUCAGUUUAAUGUGAGACUUCAGUUUAAUGUGACAGACUUCAGUUUAAUGUGAGACUUCAGUUUAAUGUGAGACUUCAGUUUAAUGUGACAGACUUCAGUUUAAUGUGAGACUUCAGUUUAAUGUGAGACUUCAGUUUAAUGUGACAGACUUCAGUUUAAUGUGAGACUUCAGUUUAAUGUGACAGACUUCAGUUUAAUGUGACAGACUUCAGUUUAAUGUGAGACUUCAGUUUAAUGUGACAGACUUCAGUUUAAUGUGACAGACUUCAGUUUAAUGUGAGACUUCAGUUUAAUGUGAGACUUCAGUUUAAUGUGAGACUUCAGUUUAAUGUGACAGACUUCAGUUUAAUGUGAGACUUCAGUUUAAUGUGACAGACUUCAGUUUAAUGUGACAGACUUCAGUUUAAUGUGACAGACUUCAGUUUAAUGUGACAGACUUCAGUUUAAUGUGACAGACUUCAGUUUAAUGUGACAGACUUCAGUUUAAUGUGACAGACUUCAGUUUAAUGUGAGACUUCAGUUUAAUGUGACAGACUUCAGUUUAAUGUGACAGACUUAUACAAACAGUUCUUCCAUCUUCAUCGGUUUUCCUCUUCCUGAUGCUUUUGGAUUUUCUCCUUCUAUGUGUUCCAUAAUCAGUAUGAAUACAACAGUUAUAUUAUUUCUGUGAUUUUAUUUGGAUCAGGUGUAAGACUCAUUUCCUUCUUUCUUAAAAAAAAAAAAAAAAAAAAAGUUUAUUCAGGUAUGAUUUUGUUUUCAUGUUUUUCCAUGUGUGAUUUUUAAAAUAAAGAUUUAAGUUGAGUUGAUU